GACGGAGGAUGCAAGUGUUAUCCGGAAUCACUGGGCGUAAAGCGUCUGUAGGUGGUUUAAUAAGUCAACUGUUAAAUCUUGAGGCUUAACCUCAAAAUUGCAUUCAAUACUGCGUUGCUUGAGCGCUGUAGAGGAGAUUGGAAUUUACGGUGUAGCAGUGAAAUGCGUAGAUAUCGUAAGGAAGACCAGUGGCGAAGGCGAAUCUCUGGGCAGCUGCUGACGCUGAGGCACGAAGGCCAGGGGAGCGAACGGG
rnacentral:rRNA from 1 species